CCUAGGGGAGGCAGCAGUGAGGAAUAUUGGUCAAUGGACGGAAGUCUGAACCAGCCAAGUAGCGUGCAGGAUGACGGCCCUAUGGGUUGUAAACUGCUUUUAUGCGGGGGUAAAGUGAGUGACGUGUCAUUCAUUGCAAGUACCGCAAGAAUAAGGACCGGCUAAUUCCGUGCCAGCAGCCGCGGUAAU
rnacentral:rRNA from 1 species